rnacentral:rRNA from 1 species
GAACGGACCCUUCGGGGUUAGUGGCGGACGGGUGAGUAACACGUGGGAACGUGCCUUUAGGUUCGGAAUAGCUCCUGGAAACGGGUGGUAAUGCCGAAUGUGCCCUUCGGGGGAAAGAUUUAUCGCCUUUAGAGCGGCCCGCGUCUGAUUAGCUAGUUGGUGAGGUAAUGGCUCACCAAGGCGACGAUCAGUAGCUGGUCUGAGAGGAUGACCAGCCACAUUGGGACUGAGACACGGCCCAAACUCCUACGGGAGGCAGCAGUAGGGAAUCUUGCGCAAUGGGCGAAAGCCUGACGCAGCCAUGCCGCGUGAAUGAUGAAGGUCUUAGGAUUGUAAAAUUCUUUCACCGGGGACGAUAAUGACGGUACCCGGAGAAGAAGCCCCGGCUAACUUCGUGCCAGCAGCCGCGGUAAUACGAAGGGGGCUAGCGUUGCUCGGAAUUACUGGGCGUAAAGGGCGCGUAGGCGGAUCGUUAAGUCAGAGGUGAAAUCCCGGAGCUCAACUUCGGAACUGCCUUUGAUACUGGCGAUCUUGAGUGUGAGAGAGGUAUGUGGAACUCCGAGUGUAGAGGUGAAAUUCGUAGAUAUUCGGAAGAACACCAGUGGCGAAGGCGACAUACUGGCUCAUUACUGACGCUGAGGCGCGAAAGCGUGGGGAGCAAACAGGAUUAGAUACCCUGGUAGUCCACGCCGUAAACGAUGAUUGCUAGUUGUCGGGCUGCAUGCAGUUCGGUGACGCAGCUAACGCA